AGUGAACGCUGGCGGUAGGCCUAACACAUGCAAGUCGAACGGCAGCACAGUAAGAGCUUGCUCUUACGGGUGGCGAGUGGCGGACGGGUGAGGAAUACAUCGGAAUCUACUUUUUCGUGGGGGACAACGUAGGGAAACUUACGCUAAUACCGCAUACGACCUACGGGUUAAAGCAGUGGAUCUUCGGACCUUGCGCGAUUGAAUGAGCCGAUGUCGGAUUAGCUAGUUGGCGGGGUAAAGGCCCACCAAGGCGACGAUCCGUAGCUGGUCUGAGAGGAUGAUCGGCCACACUGGAACUGAGACACGGUCCAGACUCCUACGGGAGGCAGCAGUGGGGAAUAUUGGACAAUGGGCGCAAGCCUGAUCCAGCCAUACCGCGUGGGUGAAGAAGGCCUUCGGGUUGUAAAGCCCUUUUGUUGGGAAAGAAAAGCAGCAGGUUAAUACCCCGCUGUUCUGACGGUACCCAAAGAAUAAGCACCGGCUAACUUCGUG
rnacentral:rRNA from 1 species